rnacentral:rRNA from 1 species
CCGUAGCCCAAGAGAUCGGGAUAACACCUGGAAACAGAUGCUAAUACCGGAUAACAACAGAUGAUGCCUAUCAACUGUUUAAAAGAUGGUUCUGCUAUCACUCUUGGAUGGACCUGCGGUGCAUUAGCUAGUUGGUAGGGUAACGGCCUACCAAGGCGAUGAUGCAUAGCCGAGUUGAGAGACUGAUAGGCCACAUUGGGACUGAGACACGGCCCAAACUCCUACGGGAGGCAGCAGCC